rnacentral:rRNA from 1 species
GGGGGGGGGGGGGGGGGGGGGGGGGGGGGGCGGGGCGGGGGGGGGCGGGGGGGGGGUGGCUGCGUGGCGGACGAGUGGCGGGCGGGUGAGGAGUGGCUGGGGACCUGCCCGAUGGAGGGGGAUAACUACUGGAAACGGUAGCUAAUACCGCAUAACGUCGCACGACCACAGAGGGGGACCUUAGGGCCUCUUGCCAGCUGCUGUGCCCGGAUGGGAUUAGCUCGUCGGUGGGGUAACGGCUACACUAGGCGACGAUCCCUAGCUGGUCUGAGAGGAUGACCAGCCACACUGGAACUGAGACACGGUCCAGACUCCUACGGGAGGCAGCAGUGGGGAAUAUUGCACAAUGGGCGCAAGCCUGAUGCAGCCAUGCCGCGUGUAUGAAGAAGGCCUUCGGGUUGUAAAGUACUUUCAGCGGGGAGGAAGGGAGUAAAGUUAAUACCUUUGCUCAUUGACGUUACCCGCAGAAGAAGCACCGGCUAACUCCGUG